rnacentral:rRNA from 1 species
UACGAAGGGGGCUAGCGUUGUUCGGAAUCACUGGGCGUAAAGCGCACGCAGGCGGCUUGAUACGUCGGGGGUGAAAGCCCCGGGCUCAACCUGGGAAUUGCAUUCGAGACUGAAUAGCUAGGGUACGGGAGAGGGAAGUGGAAUUUCCGGUGUAGCGGUGAAAUGCGUAGAUAUCGGAAGGAACAUCAGUGGCGAAAGCGACUGCCUGGACCAGUACUGACGUUCAGGCACGAAAGCGUGGGGAGCAAACAGG